rfam:Oryza sativa Japonica Group DNA, chromosome 3, cultivar: Nipponbare, complete sequence.
AAAAAGAUAAACCGUGGGUUCCCGUGCCAAUGUUUGACUGUCCGUUUUAUAUGAAAUUUUUUUAUAAUUAGUAUUUUCAUUGUUGUUAGAUGAUAAAACAUAAUUAAUACUUUAUGCGUGACUUAUCUUUUUAAUUUUUUUCAUAAUUUUUUCAAAUAAGACAGACAGUCAAACGUUGGACACGGAAACC